UGUGCCGCAAGGCGGACUUAUGCUGUACCCACAGCGUAGCUCAUAGAACGGGCAUAGGACUACUUUUUAUAGGAGAAAACAAAUG
ncrna:unclassified sequences freshwater-2 RNA